AGGCGAUCGUAUCAUGUCGAGCGCGGAUUCGGUUACUUCUUGGAAUUGUCCCGUAAAUCUUGCCAGCGAGUCCGCCUGAGCUGGAGCUAGACGAGAGGAGACAGGAGCGAGCGAGAUGGAGCUAUUGGAGCGAGACAUUCUACGAAAAUCAGUUGGAGACAACGCAGUACAGCUGUAAAAAAGAGACAGUGAUCCAGCACAGUAGAGGAAAAAAUGUAAGAAUCCAGCACAGCAGCAAUUGUUGCAACAUGGAAAUUGCACAUUUGCAAAGGGCGUCUUUAGCUUUCCGAAUGGCGUUUCCGUUCCCUUAAGCAGCGAGCAUGCGAUAGACUGCAUACACAGAGCGCAAUCACGUGACGCCAAGUUACUGUUGGCAGUCGGAAUACAACGGUGCCAAAAAGUGAGCUCUCCAAGCUGACGGACGAGUGCAGUUUGGAAUAUGCAUGAGGCUGCAGCUCGGUGGCUGAUGACGUUUUCCGGGAUCCUGAUCUCCUUGCAAUCUCCAUGUGCGCUAUAAAGGGCUUUUAGCGAAAUCGCCAACAAAACCGACGACACACCGUAGUAAUAACCCGGUAUUACCCGGUACAACGGAUAUCAUCGCGAAAAAUGGCGAAAGAAUGUAUACG